rnacentral:misc_RNA from 1 species
UCUCCGUAGGUGAACCUGCGGAGGGAUCAUUACUGAGUGAGGGCUCACGCCCGACCUCCAACCCCAUGUGAACCGCAACUGUUGCUUCGGGGGCGACCCGGCCCUCUGGGCGUCGGGGCCCCCGGUGGCUCACACCUCAACUCUUGCAUCUGUGCGUCUGAGUAACAUAUUGAAUCAAUCAAAACUUUCAACAACGGAUCUCUUGGUUCUGGCAUCGAUGAAGAACGCAGC